UCAUUUGAAUGUGUCAUUUAUUCAUUCGGUCACAGGUCUCAUUCGCAGAUAUUUCAUCUCCUGACUGGCGGAAUAUCAUUUAACUGGUUGUUCAACAGCAGUGCUGCUUUUAGUUGGCAAUCAAACCCAUGUGAAUACUGGGAGGCUGUUGCCACACAUCAGCCUGAAGAAACACAGGACUUGUUCUGCUACAUUCCAUCUUCAGUUUUCUUAACAGGUGAAAGGUUCUGUGUUUCCUGUGAGACAGAACAUGCAUAGUAGCGUUCUGUGUUUUUCCUUAGAACACACAGAAAAUGAGUUGUGUUUUUAGAGGGAAAGAAUAAUAAUUUUAGGUUUCUGUGUGGUGCAUUUGCAUGACACAACAGCAGUCUUUAAACAGGCCGAUUACAAAUUAAUGUAAUGAAAUAAGUUGAAUAUAGAAUGAAUAGCACAGGCUUGGAAUCUCUAACCACAUCAGUUUGACUAUAGAAAUGUACAGAAUAGAACAGGCAUCCCCAUUUAAAUUGAUAAUGGUAUAGUCAAUUAUUUAUUACAGCUAAACUGCAAUCAUCCAGAAGGAAUCAUUUCCACUUAAAGGGUUGACCUAGGGAAUGAGGUGGGUGGAGCUAAGCAGGUGAACUUCAUACCUGAUUGGGCAACAUUGAUGCGUUCUACCAUAUUUCUGUUAUGAAUCAUUAGGAAACGCCCAGCCCUCCCUGCACAUUUUUCAUGAAUUAGCCAGAGUACAGUCAGCAAAACUGUUAAAAACGUUAUUUUGUGACAUUAAAUGUUUAAUCUAUGAGAAAAUCAUCAUGGUUCCAGGUCCAUCUCUCUCCAUGAGCUUCCAAUCCCAGUGGGAAGUAGACAUGAUGGCUUGGUGCUUACGAUGUACACAGCAGAGGACUGCCUGUCUAUGGGCCAGCAAACAUUGCAAGUAUCCUCAUUCAAACAAAAACGAUGUUCAACAAUUCAAGACAGAAGGAAAAACGCAAGAUUCCAACUCCCAUUCAAAACACAAAUUAAUUGGAUCAGUGCCAAUGCUGGAUUCUACAGAAUUAGUUUUGUACACACUUAGAUAAAAAAAAUUGUUAACAAGUCUAAAUUUACAGAAUAAAACUAAAGUGGUUUUGCUGGGUUUGCUUAAGUUACAGGAAAAGUACUGCAUUUGGGUUAAUUUGGUGAAAUGUCUGGUUACUGUGGCAUAAUAGCAUCCCAUUUGUCUCAAACUUAACUGGUGAAACCUGGGAAACUGUAGUAAAACCUGGGCUCAACAAUACAAGGUUAGGACGAGAUGGAUUCUACUAUCGCAUAAUUCAUUGUGCCACCAAUCAGCACAGGACCAGCAAACAGAUGGUCUGACUGGACUUGAAUACCACUCCUGCCUUAUGCUGUUGUUCUAAUAUCCUCCAUGGUCACAUAUCCUAAUGUCCUCUGUGGUCACAUGUCCUAAUGUCCUCCGUGGUCACAUGUUGUCUUAAUGUCCUCCAUGGUCACAUGUCCUAAUGUCCUCCGUGGUCACAUGUUGUCUUAAUGUCCUCCGUGGUCACAUGUUAUCCUAAUGUCCUCCGUGGUCACAUGUUAUCCUAAUGUCCUCCGUGGUCACAUGUUAUCCUAAUGUCCUCCGUGGUCACAUGUUGUCCUAAUGCCCUCUGUGGUCACAUGUUAUCCUAAUGUCCUCCGUGGUCACAUGUUGUCUUAAUGUCCUCCAUGGUCACAUGUCCUAAUGUCCUCCGUGGUCACAUGUUGUCCUAAUGCCCUCUGUGGUCACAUGCUGCUGACGAAACCCCAAGGGUGACUACCACAGUAUGGGGGGGUUUAUUAAACACAUCAACUCCGAGACAAACUCACAACUUGAAUGAUGCAAUUCAUGGUUCACUUUAAGUUAAUAAAACAAGCAAAAAAUGAUUGUUUCCAAAUCCCUCCUAUCCAUUUUAGAAGACAUGAAUCGUAUUAACAUUUCAUUCAGGAGGUAUUUUGUAUAUGUGUUAAGUCUUGAAAUCAUGUUGUAUAAUUAUAGACACUCCUAUCCAGUCUUUUGUGUGAAAUUGCGCAAGCACAAAUAUAGCAUGGUGUCUAAUGGGAUUCCACUUAGUUCUUGGAAGCAUGGGUGCAUACUCAUUGCAAGGGGCUGCAGCAGGCUCUAUUAGCCCCUACCCUCAUUUAUUUUGAUUCCCUCUGUUUUAGGACACUCGUGCAAACGGCAGAGGCUUGUGUGAACAUGCAAAUGGAGUAUGCAGGAGAAAGGCUUAAUUGGGGAUUAGAUGUGAAUGGUAGCUGCACAAAAAUAUUGUCAUCAAGGUUAAGAAUUACUAUCAAAUUGCCUGUGUCACAAUUCCGGCCAGCCAAUGCCUUCGAUACAACUGUGACAUGCCCACAGGUCUUGCGUUAUUGCCCACGGGCCAGCGUUAUUGCCUGAGUUAAGAGCUCCAAGCCCCGUCUGUUCAUUCUAACUUCAGAGAUUGAUAAAUCAAUCAGUGGAAACAGUGGCUUGAUAUUGAGAUGUCAUAAUUUCCAUGGUGCAGUGACAUGAUUCUAACUGAAGUAGCGAUGUCACUUGAGUUGAUUCAAGCGAGGUAACACUUUAGACUCAGUAGACUGGGGUACGAGGUAACACUUUAGACUCAGUAGACUGGGGUACGAGGUAACACUUUAGACUCAGUAGACUGGGGUACGAGGCAACACUUUAGACUCAGUAGACUGGGGUACGAGGUAACACUUUAGACUCAGUAGACUGGGGUACGAGGUAACACUUUAGACUCAGUAUUUAGAUGCAUGGGGAAAUAGUUUCACAGGUCAAUAAUCACAAGGAGGCAAAACAAAAUAUACAAUUCGGCCUGAACAUUUAUUUAUUUAUUUUUUGGCCAAUUAAACAAAUUGAUCAUAGAUUUAAACAAAACUUCCUAGAAACACAGUAUAUAUAGUCAAACCCAGCAUUAUCCCAAAGAAUAAGCGUUUUGUAAGUGGUUUACAAUUGACAUCCUACCCUACUAUCUUAUUCCACAAACAGGCUACUUCAGAUAUCUCCUCCACGUGCAGUAGAAGAAUGUCAAACGUUUCAAACACAAAUAUAUUAAAAGAUCUUCAAGAUUCUGAAAUCCAAACAUCAGAGACUCUUGAACAUUCUGCUUUGUGUCCUGCAUAAGAAACGCUCACCUCAUAAUCCACCAACAACACUGUGUGAAGAGAAAGGGGCAAAUAUUGCCACACUAUUGUCUGUAUAGGUCUGGUCAACUUCUAAUCCAAGUUAAUAGUAAAAGACUAAGCCUUGUUUCUUUGUUCUGACUAAACUCUUCUGAGUAAUUAACCAGUAAAGGCAUGCUGGACUGAUCAAUAUUUGCAUUAUAAGGCAACGGUAAAAGUUAAGUAUCAACUUGCCACUAGUGAAACCUGUUUCCACACUUCAGGUCUACAACUGUUUGCAUAUACAAAGUUGGGUGCUGUGGGAGAAAUGGUGCUUUGAUCACUGAAAUGACCAGGAGCUGGUGCGUUAUUUGCCCUGUUUAAACAAUGCAAUUGGCUCACUUUAUUUCCCAUUUUCAUGUCAAGAGACAUGUAGGCGCUGCACACUGUAAUCCAGUGUUUCUCAAACCUGCGCCUGGGCCCCCGCCCUGCACGUUUUAGAUCUCUCCCCGCCCUGACACACCUGAUUCAAAUGAUCAUCAACUGACACAACACAUGUCUUAUAUCCCUGUGACUUGAAUGAGGAAGGAGGCUUGAGUGCUUCAGUUAAGACAGAGCUGGUUCACCAACAUACCUGAAGUUGUCCUGGUUUGCUCGCAUUCGGCAACUCCACCGACAGUGCCCAGAGUAGGCCUUUGUUGCGUCACAUCCAAGGGUUGGACAUUACAGUACCAGUCUUAGAAACGAAGGGCUGGUCUCCCAGGUGCAGAUUAAUGCGGACUAAAAAGAACUUUCAAUGGAGAUUCUCCAUUGACUGUGCUAGUUAAUCUAGAGCUAGUUAAUCUAGAGCUAGUCUGGGAAACCACGUGCACUGGCACCUGGUGACAUGAC
ensembl:lncRNA